UACGGAGGGGGCAAGCGUUAUCCGGAAUCACUGGGUUUAAAGGGUGCGUAGGCGGCUUGAUAAGUCAGGGGUUAAAGCCCGCAGCUUAACUGCGGAUCUGCCUUUGAUACUGUCGAGCUUGAAAGAGGUUGAGGUCAGCGGAACGUGACAUGUAGCGGUGAAAUGCAUAGAUAUGUCACAGAACACCGAUUGCGAAGGCAGCUGGCUGGACCUACUUUGACGCUGAGGGACGAAAGCGUGGGGAGCGAACAGG
rnacentral:rRNA from 1 species